rnacentral:rRNA from 1 species
CGGACGGGUGAGUAACGCGUGGAAAACCUGCCGUAUACUGGGGGAUAACACUUAGAAAUAGGUGCUAAUACCGCAUAAGCGCACAGCUUCGCAUGAAGCGGUGUGAAAAACUCUGGUGGUAUACGAUGGUUCCGCGUCUGAUUAGCUAGUUGGUGGGGUAAUGGCCUACCAAGGCAACGAUCAGUAGCCGGCCUGAGAGGUUGAACGGCCACAUUGGGACUGAGACACGGCCCAGACUCCUACGGAAGGCAGCAG